ensembl:lncRNA
GCGGAGGUGUACGUUCUAGGCCCGGAUCAUGAAAUAGCGUAGAUGCAUAUAGAAAACAAUAUUUGAUGUAGGCCUAUUCUUAUAUAAAACUAUACAUGAUAUAGCUGGAGUACAAAACUCUCAGAUUCACGAUUAUACCGUGCAUUGCUGAACGUGCGGACACCAAGCCAAACCAGGGAGCUAUAUAAACUAUGUGGUGUUCGUUGUAGAAAAAGGGAUGAAGCACUAUGGACCUAGCGGUGGUUAUAACUUCUUUACAGAUACCAGUCUGACUGAUGACGUGUCCAGUCUGACCUCUGCUCAGGUGGUGUCCCUGUAAGACUGGCUGACCUUCUAUCACAAGGACUACAAGCCUAUGGGUGGGUAUCAAUGCCUGUAGGCCAUCGUAUCUCAUACGAGGGUCCCAUGCAUGGUCCAUUUGACCAAGGAACUUUUGUCAUUGAUACUAGCACAGUUGACAUUAUUGCACUCAAUACUAGCCUGGGUACCAGUCUGUUAAUGCAGUCUUUCCAACUCCUUAUGGAAUUGUGAUGCAUUUGCAAGCAGUGAAGUGCAAUGAUACUUAUUGAACAGACUGGUACCCAGGCUAGUUCAUUACAUACAUGAACAUAAGGUUCAAAGGCCCUCGCAGACAACCCGAGAACCGAGUUUGGAAAACCCUGUGUUAACCCAAAAGGACAAAAAUAUACAGAGAAU